GAUGAACGCUGGCGGCGUGCCUAAUACAUGCAAGUCGAGCGAACAGAUAAGGAGCUUGCUCCUUUGACGUUAGCGGCGGACGGGUGAGUAACACGUGGGUAACCUACCUAUAAGACUGGGAUAACUUCGGGAAACCGGAGCUAAUACCGGAUAAUAUUUCGAACCGCAUGGUUCGAUAGUGAAAGAUGGUUUUGCUAUCACUUAUAGAUGGACCCGCGCCGUAUUAGCUAGUUGGUAAGGUAACGGCUUACCAAGGCGACGAUACGUAGCCGACCUGAGAGGGUGAUCGGCCACACUGGAACUGAGACACGGUCCAGACUCCUACGGGAGGCAGCAGUAGGGAAUCUUCCGCAAUGGGCGAAAGCCUGACGGAGCAACGCCGCGUGAGUGAUGAAGGUUUUCGGAUCGUAAAACUCUGUUAUUAGGGAAGAACAUACGUGUAAGUAACUGUGAAAGUAUAGACGGUACCUAAUCAGAAAGCCACGGCUAACUACGUG
rnacentral:rRNA from 1 species